AAUGAAUGUUGGCGGCGUGGAUUAGGCAUGCAAGUCGAGCGAGAACCCCGCAAGGGGGGACAGCGGCGAAAGGGACAGUAAUGUGUAGAUUAUCUGCCCUCAGGUCCGGGAUAGCUGCGGGAAACUGCAGGUAAUACCGGAUAACAUCUCCGGAUCAAAGGUGUGAUUCCGCCUGAGGAUGAGUCUGCAUCCUAUUAGCUAGUUGGUGGGGUAAUGGCCUACCAAGGCAUUGAUGGGUAGCAGGUGUGAGAGCACGACCUGCGUCAUUGGGACUGAGACACUGCCCAGACACCUACGGGUGGCUGCAGUCGAGAAUCUUCGGCAAUGGGCGCAAGCCUGACCGAGCGACGCCGCGUGUGGGAUGAAGGCCUUCGGGUUGUAAACCACUGUCAGAGGGGAUGAAAUGCAGGUGGGUUCUCCCAUCUGUUUGACAUAGCCUCAGAGGAAGGACGGGCUAAGUUCGU
rnacentral:rRNA from 1 species